UUGUUGGUAAGGUAAAGGCUUACCAAGGCUUCGAUCAGUAGCUGGUCUGAGAGGACGGCCAGCCACACUGGGACUGAGACACGGCCCAGACUCCUACGGGGGGCAGCAGUGGGGAAUUUUGGACAAUGGGGGAAACCCUGAUCCAGCCAUGCCGCGUGAGUGAAGAAGGCCUUCGGGUUGUAAAGCUCUUUCAGCCGGAACGAAACGGUUACGGAUAAUACCCGUGACUACUGACGGUACCGGAAGAAGAAGCACCGGCUAACUACGUGCCAGCAGCCGCGGUAAUACGUAGGGUGCGAGCGUUAAUCGGAAUUACUGGGCGUAAAGCGUGCGCAGGUGGUUUUGUAAGUCAGAUGUGAAAGCCCCGGGCUCAACCUGGGAACUGCGUUUGAAACUACAAGACUAGAGUGUGGCAGAGGGGGGUGGAAUUCCGCGUGUAGCAGUGAAAUGCGUAGAGAUGUGGAGGAACACCGAUGGCGAAGGCAGCCCCCUGGGUUAACACUGACACUCAGGCACGAAAGCAUGGGGAGCAAACAGGAUUAGAUACCCUGGUAGUCCAUGCCCUAAACGAUGUCAACUAGUUGUCGGGCCUUUACGGGCUUGGUAACGUAGCUAACGCGUGAAGUUGACCGCCUGGGGAGUACGAUCGCAAGAUUAAAACUCAAAUGAACUGACGGGGACCCGCACAAGCGGUGGAUUAUGUGGAUUAAUUCGAUGCAACGCGAAAAACCUUACCUACCCUUGACAUGUAUCGAAGCCCGCAGAAAAGCGGGGGUGCCCGAAAGGGAACGAUAACACAGGUGCUGCAUGGCUGUCGUCAGCUCGUGUCGUGAGAUGUUGGGUUAAGUCCCGCAACGAGCGCAACCCUUGUCAUUAAUUGCCAUCAUUUAGUUGGGCACUUUAAUGAGACUGCCGG
rnacentral:rRNA from 1 species